UACAGAGGUCCCAAGCGUUGUUCGGAUUCACUGGGCGUAAAGGGUGCGUAGGUGGUGAGGUAAGUCGGAUGUGAAAGCUCGGAGCUCAACUCCGAAAUGGCAUUGGAAACUACCUUGCUCGAGGGUUGGAGGGGGACUGGAAUACUUGAUGUAGCAGUGAAAUGCGUAGAUAGUCAAGUGGAACACCAGUGGCGAAGGCGAGUCCCUGGACAACUCCUGACGCUGAGGUGCGAAAGCGUGGGGAGCAAACAGG
rnacentral:rRNA from 1 species